GAUUCUUCUGCAGUGAUUCUACAUCACUUUCAUAAGUAAAAGAUAAUAUCCAUUUAAAAUGACCCCAAGGUUGAUACAUUUGGAAAGGAAGCAGAGCCAUCAAAAUUGGAAGUUCUCCUUAUUAAAUAUUUGUUGUAUUUAUAUCGUUUUUCGGAAAUUAUUCAUGCCAUUUAUCUUUCCUUUUAUAAUACAUUUUUAUGAACCAGGUCUCAUUAAAUACUGCUAAGUACUGUUUAAAAUCUUUAAAAUUCUUGGUGUGAGAUUGGUGAGUUAAUAAUUGCACCUUAAUAAAAUGAUUACAUUUUUGUUGCA
rnacentral:lncRNA from 1 species